AGCACAUUCUCCUCUUAAUGGGUCUGGGAGGCAAGAAAAGGUCCCAGGGACACCUCCUUCCACCCCAGGAGUCUGAGGAGGCCGUGUCCUGUGAGUGUCCCCACCAUGGCCUGGACGGUGCUCCUGCUGGGACUCCUCACUUACAGCUCAGGUGUGGAUUCUCAGACUGUCGUCACCCAGGAGCCAUCACUGUCUGUGUCUCCAGGAGGGACAGUCACACUCACCUGUGGCCUUAGCUCUGGCUCAGUGUCUAGUAGUAACUACCCCAACUGGUACCAGCAGACCCCAGGCCAGGCUCCCCGCACGCUCAUCUAUAGCACAAACAGCCGACCCUCUGGGGUCCCUGAGCGCUUCACUGGAUCCAUCUCUGGGAACAAAGCCGCCCUCACCAUCACGGGGGCCCAGCCUGAGGACGAGGCCAUUUAUUACUGUGCUCUGUACACGGGUAGUUAUCCUUACACAGUGAUGUGACCUCAUGGGGAAGUG